GACGAACGCUGGCGGCGUGCUUAACACAUGCAAGUCGAACGGUAAGGCCCUUCGGGGCACACGAGUGGCGAACGGGUGAGUAACACGUGGGUGAUCUGCCCUGCACUUCGGGAUAAGCCUGGGAAACUGGGUCUAAUACCGGAUAGGACCACUGCCUGCAUGGGUGGUGGUGGAAAGCUUUUGCGGUGUGGGAUGGGCCCGCGGCCUAUCAGCUUGUUGGUGGGGUGAUGGCCUACCAAGGCGACGACGGGUAGCCGGCCUGAGAGGGUGACCGGCCACACUGGGACUGAGAUACGGCCCAGACCCCUACGGGAGGCAGCAGUGGGGAAUAUUGCACAAUGGGCGCAAGCCUGAUGCAGCGACGCCGCGUGAGGGAAGAAGGUCUUCGGAUUGUAAACCUCUUUCAGUAGGGACGAAGCGAAAGUGACGGUACCUAAAGAAGAAGCACCGGCUAACUACGUGCCAGCCGCCGCGGUAA
rnacentral:rRNA from 1 species